rnacentral:rRNA from 1 species
CGUAUCACCCAAGACAACUUUACGGAGUUGACGAUUGACGGAGCGAAGCGACGUCAAAGCGUUCAUUAAAGUCGAGUUGGCUUAGGGAUACGUUCGUUGGGUAGGGGAGCGUUCUGUAAGCCUGUGAAGGUGUGUCGUGAGGCAUGCUGGAGGUAUCAGAAGUGCGAAUGCUGACAUAAGUAACGAUAAAGCGGGUGAAAAGCCCGCUCGCCGGAAGACCAAGGGUUCCUGUCCAACGUUAAUCGGGGCAGGGUGAGUCGACCCCUAAGGCGAGGCCGAAAGGCGUAGUCGAUGGGAAACGGGUUAAUAUUCCCGUACUUGGUGUUACUGCGAAGGGGGGACGGAGAAGGCUAUGUUGGCCGGGCGACGGUUGUCCCGGUUUAAGCGUGUAGGUGUGUGUUCCAGGUAAAUCCGGUUCACUUUAACACUGAGGCGUGACGACGAGGCACUACGGUGCUGAAGCAACAAAUGCCCUGCUUCCAGGAAAAGCCUCUAAGCAUCAGGUAACAUCAAAUCGUACCCCAAACCGACACAGGUGGUCAGGUAGAGAAUACCAAGGCGCUUGAGAGAACUCGGGUGAAGGAACUAGGCAAAAUGGUGCCGUAACUUCGGGAGAAGGCACGCUGACACGUAGGUGAAGUGAUUUACUCAUGGAGCUGAAGUCAGUCGAAGAUACCAGCUGGCUGCAACUGUUUAUUAAAAACACAGCACUGUGCAAACACGAAAGUGGACGUAUACGGUGUGACGCCUGCCCGGUGCCGGAAGGUUAAUUGAUGGGGUCAGCGCAAGCGAAGCUCCUGAUCGAAGCCCCGGUAAACGGCGGCCGUAACUAUAACGGUCCUAAGGUAGCGAAAUUCCUUGUCGGGUAAGUUCCGACCUGCACGAAUGGCGUAAUGAUGGCCAGGCUGUCUCCACCCGAGACUCAGUGAAAUUGAACUCGCUGUGAAGAUGCAGUGUACCCGCGGCAAGACGGAAAGACCCCGUGAACCUUUACUAUAGCUUGACACUGAACAUUGAGCCUUGAUGUGUAGGAUAGGUGGGAGGCUUUGAAGUGUGGACGCCAGUCUGCAUGGAGCCGACCUUGAAAUACCACCCUUUAAUGUUUGAUGUUCUAACGUGGACCCGUAAUCCGGGUUGCGGACAGUGUCUGGUGGGUAGUUUGACUGGGGCGGUCUCCUCCUAAAGAGUAACGGAGGAGCACGAAGGUUGGCUAAUCCUGGUCGGACAUCAGGAGGUUAGUGCAAUGGCAUAAGCCAGCUUGACUGCGAGCGUGACGGCGCGAGCAGGUGCGAAAGCAGGUCAUAGUGAUCCGGUGGUUCUGAAUGGAAGGGCCAUCGCUCAACGGAUAAAAGGUACUCCGGGGAUAACAGGCUGAUACCGCCCAAGAGUUCAUAUCGACGGCGGUGUUUGGCACCUCGAUGUCGGCUCAUCACAUCCUGGGGCUGAAGUAGGUCCCAAGGGUAUGGCUGUUCGCCAUUUAAAGUGGUACGCGAGCUGGGUUUAGAACGUCGUGAGACAGUUCGGUCCCUAUCUGCCGUGGGCGCUGGAGAACUGAGGGGGGCUGCUCCUA